rnacentral:rRNA from 1 species
GACGAACGCUGGCGGCGUGCCUAAUACAUGCAAGUCGAACGAAGCUGUUUUAACUGGUGCUUGCACCGACUUAAACAACUGAGUGGCGAACGGGUGAGUAACACGUGGGUAACCUGCCCCAAAGCGGGGGAUAACAUUUGGAAACAGAUGCUAAUACCGCAUAACCACAGAAACCACAUGGUUUCUGUGUCAAAGAUGGUUUCGGCUAUCACUUUGGGAUGGACCCGCGGCGUAUUAGCUAGUUGGUAAGGUAAUGGCUUACCAAGGCAAUGAUACGCAGCCGAACUGAGGGGUUGAUCGGCCACAUUGGGACUGAGACACGGCCCAAACUCCUACGGGAGGCAGCAGUAGGGAAUCUUCCACAAUGGACGAGAGUCUGAUGGAGCAACGCCGCGUGAGUGAAGAAGGUUUUCGGAUCGUAAAACUCUGUUGUCAGAGAAGAACGUGUGCGAGAGUAACUGCUCGUGCAGUGACGGUAUCUGGCCAGAAAGCCACGGCUAACUACGUGCCAGCCGCCGCCGUAA